GAUGAAGAACGCAGCGAAAUGCGAUAAGUAAUGUGAAUUGCAGAAUUCAGUGAAUCAUCGAAUCUUUGAACGCAUCUUGCGCUCCUUGGUAUUCUGAGGAGCAUGCCUGUUUGAGUGUCAUUAAAUUCUCAACUACACUGACUUUGAAUUGGUGUGGCUUGGAUUUGGGGGGAAAAUUGUUGUGGGCUUUUUGUAUAGUCUGCUCCCCUGAAAUUGAUUAGCGGUACCUUUGUGGAACUGUCUACAGGUGUGAUAAUUAUCUACAUCUUAGACAUCUGCUGGAAUGCUGCUCUCUAAACCUUACUUGUAUUGACAAUCUUGACCUCAAAUCAGGUAGGACUACCCGCUGAACUUAAGCAUAUCAAUAAGCGGAGGU
rnacentral:misc_RNA from 1 species